GCAGACAGUUUCCCCCUUUGUUGCUCAAGCCUUGCAUUCUCUCAGUCUAGCCGAAGUCUAGCCAGAAAGAAAAGGAACGUUUCUUCCCGGUAGCCCUUCCUCCAGGCCCAGGAUUCCUUCAUCAGGCUUUGACCAUUUGGAUCAGGUCCUCACCCCCGCACUGAGGCGGGGCAUGCAGGGCACUGAUUCACCCAGCCUGGGUCACGUGCUUCUGGCCUGGCAACACCUGGAUUGAGUGGGAAGGACCUGGUUCCUCCUAAGGCAUCAAGGUGCUGCUUUAAACAGAAGGGAGGAUGCAUGAUGGUACAGUAAUCACAGUAAUAGAUGCCCACUGCCCUGAGCGGGUGCAGUAAGCACAGUAAUAGAUGCCCAUUGCCAUGAAGGGUGAACUGAGCACAGUAAUAGAUGCCCACUGCCCUGAGUGGGUGAAGUAAGCACAGUAAUAGAUGCCCACUGCCCUGAGCUGGUGCAGGAAGCACAGUAAUAGAUGCCCAUUGCCAUGAAGGGGUGCAGUAAGCACAAUAAUAGAUGCCCACUGCCCUGAGCGGGUGAAGAAAGCACAGUAACAGACACCCACGGCCCUGAGCAGGUGAAGUAAGCACAGUAAUAGACACCCACUGUGGUGAGCGGAUGAAGCAAGCACAGUAAUAGACGCCCACUGCCCUGAGAGGGUGCAGUAAGCACAGUAAUAGACACCCCCUGUCCUGAGCUGGUGAAGUAAGCACAGUAAUAGACGCCGACUGCCAUUAACGGGUGAAGUGAACACAGUAGUAGACACCCACUGCACUGAGCGGGUGCAGGAAGCACACUAAUAUAAACCCACUGUCCUGAAUGGGUGCAUUAAGCCAGUAAUAGAUGCACACUGCCCUGAGCGGGUGAAGUAAGCCCAGUAAUAGAUCAACACUGCCCUGAGUGGGUGAAGUAAGCACAGUAAUAGAUGCACACUGCCCUGAGCGGAUGAAGCAAGCACAGUAAUAGAUGCCCACUGUCCUGAGCGGAUGAAGCAAGCACAGUAAUGGAUGCCCACUGUCCUGAGCCGAUGAAGCAAGCACAGUAAUAGCCGCCCACUGCCAUGAGAGGCUGCAGUAAGCAUAGUAAUAGCCGCCCACUGCCAUGAGAGGGUGCAGUAAGCACAGUAAUAGACACCCCCUGUCCUGAGCUGGUGAAGUAAGCACAGUAAUAGAUGCCGACUGCCAUUAACGGGUGAAGUAAACACAGUAGUAGACACCCACUGCACUGAGCGGGUGCAGGAAGCACACUAAUAUAUACCCACUGUCCUGAAUGGGUGCAUUAAGCCAGUAAUAGAAGCACACUGCCCUGAGCGGGUGACGUAAGCCCAGUAAUAGAUGCACACUGCCCUGAGUGGGUGAAGUAAGCCCAGUAAUAGAUGCACACUGCCCUGAGGGGGUGAAGUAAGCCCAGUAAUAGAUGCACACUGCCCUGAGCGGGUGAAGUAAGCACAGUAAUAGAUGCCCACUGCCCUGAGCGGGUGAAGUAAGCCCAGUAAUAGAUGCACACUGCCCUGAGCGGGUGAAGUAAGCACAGUAAUAGAUGCCCACUGUCCUGAGCGGAUGAAGCAAGCACAGUAAUAGCCGCCCACUGCCAUGAGAGGCUGCAGUAAGCAUAGUAAUAGCCACCCACUGCCAUGAGAGGGUGCAGUAAGCACAGUAAUAGACACCCCCUGUCCUGAGCUGGUGAAGUAAGCACAGUAAUAGAUGCCCACUGUCCUGAGCCGAUGAAGCAAGCACAGUAAUAGCCGCCCACUGCCAUGAGAGGGUGCAGUAAGCACAGUAAUAGACACCCCCUGUCCUGAGCUGGUGAAGUAAGCACAGUAAUAGACGCUGACUGCCACUAACGGGUGAAGUAAACACAGUAGUAGACACCCACUGCACUGAGCGGGUGCAGGAAGCACACUAAUAUAUACCCACUGUCCUGAAUGGGUGCAUUAAGCCAGUAAUAGAAGCACACUGCCCUGAGCGGGUGAAGUAAGCCCAGUAAUAGAUGCACACUGCCCUGAGCGGGUGAAGUAAGCCCAGUAAUAGAUGCACACUGCCCUGAACGGGUGAAGUAAGCCCAGUAAUACAUGCACACUGCCCUGAAUGGGUGAAGUAAGCCCAGUAAUAGAUGCACACUGUCCUGAAUGGGUGCAUUAAGGCAGUAAUACGUGCACACUGCCCUGAACGGGUGAAGUAAGCCCAGUGAUAGGUUCACACUGCCCUGAACGGGUGAAGUAAGCCCAGUAAUAGAUGCACACUGCCCUCAGCUCUUGAAGGAGGGGGCACUUAGCCAGGGGUCCCUGCAAUGGAUGGGAAGCACAUCAACUCAGCUGAACUGGAACUUCCUUUCCCAGCAUUCACCUCUCUGCACAGUUCUCAGUUAGCACGUGUGGGCCACAAGGGACAUGUUGCCCUAGGUUGGCAGGCGGAGCUGCAGUGGAGGCUGUCUCCUCAGUGCUCUGGAGGUCGGUGCACAUAGGAGGCAUCUCUGGGGCUCCCACCGGGCAGAUCUGCUGGCUCACUGGCGUUAUGUGGCAGCAGCCAGGCCCACAGCCCCUCCAGCAACUGCUGGGUCCUCCUUUGGCUUCUCCAGUGCUGGGCCAUGAAGAAGGUUGCCGGCUGCUCCUGCAGGACACCCUCAUGGGUGAACCUGGAGGCCGGCAGAAGCUGAGAGGAUG
rnacentral:lncRNA from 1 species